rnacentral:rRNA from 1 species
UACGUAGGUGACAAGCGUUGUCCGGAUUUACUGGGCGUAAAGAGCGCGCAGGCGGUCGGUCAAGUCGAGUGUGAAAGCCCCCGGCUCAACUGGGGAGGGUCAUUCGAUACUGAUCGACUCGAAGGCAGGAGAGGGUAGUGGAAUUCCCGGUGUAGUGGUGAAAUGCGUAGAUAUCGGGAGGAACACCAGUGGCGAAGGCGACUACCUGGCCUGUUCUUGACGCUGAGGCGCGAAAGCCAGGGGAGCAAACGGG